rnacentral:rRNA from 1 species
CUACGGGCGGCUGCAGUCGAGAAUCUUCGGCAAUGGACGCAAGUCUGACCGAGCGACGCCGCGUGCGGGAUGAAGGCCUUCGGGUUGUAAACCGCUGUCAGAGGGGAGGAAAUCAUCGGGGGCUAUCCCCCGGUGUUGACCUAUCCUCAGAGGAGGGACGGGCUAAGUUCGUGCCAGCAGCCGCGGUAAGACGAACCGUCCAAACGUUAUUCGGAAUCACUGGGCUUAAAGGGUGUGUAGGCGGUCCGGCAAGUUGGGUGUGAAAUCCCUCGGCUCAACCGAGGAACUGCGCUCAAAACUGCCGGACUAGAGGGAGAUAGAGGCGAGCGGAACUUAGGGUGGAGCGGUGAAAUGCGUUGAUAUCCUAAGGAACACCAGUAGCGAAAGCGGCUCGCUGGGUCUCUUCUGACGCUGAGGCACGAAAGCUAGGGGAGCGAACGGGAUUAGAUACCCCUGUAGUC